rfam:Triticum urartu cultivar G1812 contig1154705, whole genome shotgun sequence.
GCAAUACUCCCUCCGUCCGGAAAUACUUGUCAUCAAAAUGGAUAAAACGUGUACAUCACGUUUUAUCCAUUUUGAUGACAAGUAUUUCCGGACGGAGGGAGUAUAUU